UACACUUUAAUUUACACCUAAUUCGUGUAAGCUGAUCCUGUUCUUCGGAAAUAAGAUAAUCUUAGGAAUGUUAUGGCAUUUUUAUCACCAAUUUCACUGUGUAGACGGUCAAACGCACUGCAUAAAGAAUAAAUAAAUUGCCUCCAGGCACUACAUCAUGGGGAAUAAUUUCGUAUUGCACUAUCAUUUAAUAAACCGCAUGGUACAGUGCGUAAAUUUUAACUCUGAAGAUACAAAUGAAAGUUGAAUCCUGAUAUUGACCUAAAAAAAUAAAUAAAAGAGGAAAGUCGAAUUGAACAUAGGAGAUUUGUAAUAAUAAAGGAAACCCGAUUGUAGGUAAUUACGUUUUUCAUUUUCAGGUGCUCAUCUCACAUUCAUAUUUUAGUAGACUUGUAAAAGAGAAGUAUCUAUUUUUUCCUUCUACAGCGAUAUGGAUGGACUUAUACUAUGUUGAAGCUUUAUGUUAUUUUUUGUUGCUUUCGAUCUUUCACAGCCCUCAUUUAUAUAAAAGUGUAUUAAACAAUUUUUAUGGCAACUUUAGGAACAGGAUUCCUAUCACAUCAGCUCUAAAGGUAUUUGAAAAUUAGACUUGUUCAUUUAGAACAGAUUUAAAGCGACCGCCAAAAAUCCCAAAUACAACUAGGAAAGGUAACCGCACUCAAUAUACAGAGACAGGAGUCCAUCACGACCAGGUUUUCCUCCCUUAACAAAAUGAUAAGGGUGAUUGCAUACUGACGAAGAUUUGUCGAUGCCCAAAUGGGGUUCUAGGAACGCGAGAACUACAGGCAGCUAAUACAACUACCGUAUGGAACGUUCAAAGACAACAUUAUCCAAUGGAGAUCCAACAUGUUGCAAGAUGGGGAAGAGUUGCUUCGCAAAAAUAACCUCAUGCCACUCAAUCCAUUCCUUGAUGCAAAUUGCAAUGGGACAAUUAAGAGUAAAGGGUAGAUUAACGAAUACAGUCUCCAUGUCGACACAAGAGAAACACUCCUUGAUAAUUAUUCCUCUAAAAAGUUAUUUGGCCACACUAAUCGUAAAGGAUUCACAUGCCAGAACCCGUCAUGGCUGGAACCAAAUCACAUUGGCAUUGGUUCGAGCAAAAAAUCUGGACACGCCCUUUCGCAACCGUGGGACUGAACUACACAGUCUCCAAGAUAUAUGUCCAAGUCGGAUUACAUUAAAAUAAAAGCUUUCUUUGGA